UGCGUAGGCGGGCUAAUAAGUCAGUGGUGAAAUCUCUCGGCUCAACCGGGAAACUGCCAUUGAUACUGUUAGUCUUGAGUUCGGUUGAGGUAGGCGGAAUGUGUAAUGUAGCGGUGAAAUGCUUAGAUAUUACACAGAACACCAAUUGCGUAGGCAGCUUACCAGACCGACACUGACGCUGAGGCACGAAAGCGUGGGGAGCGAACAGGAUUAGAUACCCUGGUAGUCC
rnacentral:rRNA from 1 species